rnacentral:tRNA from 1 species
UAGACAGAAGCCCGCUGGUUUGGGCAUGUAGCUGUUAACUAUAGUAUUAUGGGAUCGAGGCCCAUCUGUCUAG